rnacentral:rRNA from 1 species
UACGAAGGGGGCUAGCGUUGCUCGGAAUCACUGGGCGUAAAGCGCACGUAGGCGGCUUCUUAAGUCAGGGGUGAAAUCCUGGAGCUCAACUCCAGAACUGCCUUUGAUACUGAGGAUCUUGAGUUCGGGAGAGGUGAGUGGAACUGCGAGUGUAGAGGUGAAAUUCGUAGAUAUUCGCAAGAACACCAGUGGCGAAGGCGGCUCACUGGCCCGAUACUGACGCUGAGGCACGAAAGCGUGAGGAGCAAACAGG